GUCUAUUCUCAGCUUGCCAGCUGCAGCUCAGCUUUUGGGUGAAAUGAGGUAUUUAUUUGCUCUCUUCUUCUCUCCUUGUAGAGGCUCCUUUCAUAUGAAUCAUGCGUGUGAGACUCCUUGUACCAUUUUAAAUUCUGUCUGUCAGCUCCAUUCUAUCUACAUCCGAGGGAAUAUUCAGUAGAAAGAUCUAGGGUACAGUGUGGAGGGGAAAGUUUGAGAUUGCAUAUAAACUCAUCACUGGAUUUUGAGACAAGCUAAGUCUCCACUGCUGUUAACAAACUUGUCUUAAAGAACAAAUAUUCACAAGGCUCCCUGUGAUGGGAGCCUCUGGAGCUGGGCCAUGGCCAUUCUGGAAGCAUGUCACUGGAAGACACAACUUAAUGUUCACACAAGAAGAGGCCUUUCUUCCAAGCAAAGGAGAUCACAGAAGUUUAAAGACCUGUCUCCAUAGUCCUGGAGACAGUGGAAGAGUCAGAAUAUUUGGGAUUAGUUGAUUAAAACAAAACAAAAUAAACAACAAAAAACCUUCAAGUUACAACCCCAAAUGUAUAAAAUGCAAGUAAAACGAGGAGGUGAUUACUCAUGUUGCACAGUUGAGCA
rnacentral:lncRNA from 10 species